rnacentral:rRNA from 1 species
GACGUAGGGCGCGAGCGUUGUCCGGAUUUAUUGGGCGUAGAGCUCGUAGGCGGCUUGUCGCGUCGUCCGUGAAAACCCACAGCUCAACUGUGGGCUUGCGGUCGAUACGGGCAGGCUAGAGUUCGGUAGGGGAGACUGGAAUUCCUGGUGUAGCGGUGAAAUGCGCAGAUAUCAGGAGGAAUACCCAUAGCGAAGGCAGCUCGCUGGGACGGUACUGACGCUGAGGCGCGAAAGCGUGGGGAGCGAACAGG